CCUACGGGAGGCAGCAGUGGGGAAUUCUGGACAAUGGGCGCAAGCCUGAUCCAGCAAUGCCGCGUGAGUGAAGAAGGCCUUCGGGUUGUAAAGCUCUUUUGUCAGGGAAGAAACGGUUGGGGCUAAUAUCCUCGGCUAAUGACGGUACCUGAAGAAUAAGCACCGGCUAACUACGUGCCAGCAGCCGCGGUAAUACGUAGGGUGCAAGCGUUAAUCGGAAUUACUGGGCGUAAAGCGUGCGCAGGCGGUUUUGUAAGUCUGUCGUGAAAGCCCCGGGCUUAACCUGGGAAUUGCGAUGGAGACUGCAAGGCUUGAAUCUGGCAGAGGGGGGUAGAAUUCCACGUGUAGCAGUGAAAUGCGUAGAGAUGUGGAGGAACACCGAUGGCGAAGGCAGCCCCCUGGGUCAAGAUUGACGCUCAUGCACGAAAGCGUGGGGAGCAAACAGGAUUAGAUACCCUGGUAGUCCACGCCCUAAACGAUGUCUACUAGUUGUCGGGUCUUAAUUGACUUGGUAACGCAGCUAACGCGUGAAGUAGACCGCCUGGGGAGUAACGGUCGCAAGNUUAAAACGUUAAAGGAAUUGACGG
rnacentral:rRNA from 1 species